rnacentral:tRNA from 1 species
CCCCGUGUUGCUCAGUUGGUAGAGCAUGGUGUUUGCAACGCCAGGGUUGUGGGUUCGAUUCCCACGGGGG